AUUCCAGCUCCAAUAGCGUAUAUUUAAGUUGCUGCAGUUAAAAAGCUCGUAGUUGGAUUUCGGAUGGGAUUUGCCGGUCCGCCGUUCCGGUGUGCACUGGCCAGUCUCAUCUUGUUGUUGGGGACUAGCUCCUGGGCUUCACUGUCCGGGACUAGGAGCUGACGAGGUUACUUUGAGUAAAUUAGAGUGUUCAAAGCAAGCCUACGCUCUGAAUACAUUAGCAUGGAAUAACAUGAUAGGACUCUGGCUUAUCUUGUUGGUCUGUGAGACCAGAGUAAUGAUUAAGAGGGACAGUCGGGGACAUUCGUAUUUCAUUGUCAGAGGUGAAAUUCUUGGAUUUAUGAAAGACGAACUUCUGCGAAAGCAUUUGUCAAGGAUGUUUUCAUCA
rnacentral:rRNA from 1 species